rnacentral:lncRNA from 1 species
CGGGCGGGUCUGGCCCCCGGGGCGUUUGGGCGCAGCGCCGUUUGUUAACGGCCGCAGCCGGCGGUUGGCAGCCCGGCGGGCGAGGCGCCUCUCAGGCCCCGGGGAGCGCCCGGGAAAGCGGCAGCCCGGGGUAGGCCCCGUCGCGGGGCGUGAGCCGGGUCACUCUCGUUGCAGGCAGAGCGUGGCCGGAUCCUGCUCGGGGUCCCCCGGAGCACAGCUCAGUCGGGGCUCGACGGACCCGGGCUGCUGCUGUGAGGUCAGGUAUGGCAGCGCCCCGCUCCCCAUCCCGUCCCAGCGCGCCCACGUUACCAGACGUUUCCCACGGCGCUGCGGUUACGCUGGGAAAUGGACAGGGGCUUGYGCAGACACCCUGUUACCUGGGAGCAGGCACAAGGGAUCAGGCUUUGCAGCAGGACGGCAGAAUACAGAUCACACCGGGAUAUAAGAUACCUGAGGACUGUUUCUUGUUUGCAGACUGCUGCAAGACAGAGGCGUAA